rnacentral:rRNA from 1 species
AGACGAUGACGUUGAUAGGUCGGGUGUGUAAGCGUAGCGAUACGUUGAGCUAACCGAUACUAAUGAACCGUGAGGCUUAACCUUACAACGCCGAAGC